AUGUUGAUCUCUUUGUACGGGCCUCUGGGCGCUUUUCUGACCUUGGUUCCUGUUCCUAUUAUUGGUGCGCUCAUGCUUAAUAGUUGUGUCAAUUCAUCGUGCCAAGCUCUCUCAUACUUAUGGUAUAUUGAACGAAAAUCCAAAAGAAACACAUUCAUCAUCACUGCUUCUAUUUUUCUCGGAUAUAUCAUUCCAAAUUUAGUGGCGACUCAUCCAGAGUUGGUGGAGACAUCUGUGCACUCAGUAGAUGUUGUUGAUUCUAUCAAACCACUCUUAAAAUCCUACGUUUUCAUCGGAGGCUUGGUCGCUUUUCUUCUCGAUGUUUCGAUUCCAGGUGAAUAAUUGACAUCAUCCUUGAAUUAUACCAUGAAAAAACACUAAGAACUGUAUAUAAUAAGAUGGUGGAAUGGUGCUGGAUCCGGCCCUAUCAUUUCGCGGGAAAAACAAAGCCAAAAAUUUCCGAAAAUGUCAAUUACAGUCAAAAAUUUUUGAACUCUAAUGAGUACUUACUAGAGUCCCUUUAUAGAGAGAGUUGAGACAACGCGGCGUAUGCAUGUCACGAACGGGAAUAAAGAUUACACAAAUGGGGCGUUUUUUGUAAUAUUUGAUCAACCUAUUCCCGAAUUCCUGUCUCCGUUCCUUCUCUCAUUACAUUUGUCCCUUGCCUUACCUCCAAUUCCCCGGUCCAUUCCAGUUUAUAAUCUUUGCAAAUGAUGAAAAUAAUGUAAUCUUUUUCCCGUUUGUGACACUAUGAAGUCCUAAAAUACAGGAAUCAACAGACAUGGAUUCGCAUUGCCUUUACUCUCAGUAUAAAGGGGACUCUAAUGAGUACCAGUACAGGGGGGGGGGGGGUGUUCAACUCAGGCAGAUUGCGUUGUAAGUUAAGUUGCGGUCACGCCGAGAGAUCUAUUAAGUUUUGGGACUUUAUAGACCUCACAAGAAGAGCACACUCGCAAGUGAACCCAGCUUUGCACCCUGCAAAGGUGCCCCUCCGUAAAAAAUUGAAUUUUCUAAGUCAAUUUUCAAACCUUGGAAUGGAGUUACGUUCUUUCGUCAAGGAGACGAUGAUUUUUUUAACAAUAUGCCUGUGAUGCACUUCUCAAGGUGGAUUUAUUUACCCACCCGAAUGAAACCAUUCUAACAAAUGACAUUUUCUUCAGCAGCCGCUCCUGGUGAAUCUGGUCUGAGUUUGUGGCGACGGAAAGUUAGCGAGGAUUUCAAUUUAUCCGAGGUACGGACAUGCUCCGUGUGCCGCGCUAGUAUCGCAGAAAACGGCACCCCCACGAGUGAACACUCAAACAAUGUCAAUGUCAUCGAUGCCUGUUUCCUAGCCUGGCUCGCCUGAUCAUGCUUUUGAAAGAUUUGCAAAAAGGAAACGGAAUUAAUGCAGGUGUGCUUUAAGGUAAAUCGAUGAACCUGCCAUUUAAACCUAUGGUAAAGAAUCGAUAAAAAGCAGUGACGUGGCGUGAAUGAUCGAUUAUCGAUAUUUCUCCAUUUAAAGCUGUGGUGAAGAAUCGAGAAAUAAAGAGUUCGUUGCGAACAACCUGUUUAUCGAUCCUUUACCAUAGGUUUAAAGGGCAGAUCAAUUGAUACAUCGCAAAGCACGCCACGCCACUGAUAAACAGGGUUUUCGCUACGAACACCUUAAUAAUCGAUUCAAUCAUUCACCGGUAAAUUAUGCACAUAGCACAUGCUGAGGAAUCCUCACGUGAUGCACAAGACGGUCAUAAUUUUUGCAGUCGAUGUCGAGAUAUGCUUAAUGGAAAGUUAGCUAUUGCAAAAAACAUCUAAAAUUUUUUAAUUUCAUCCCAAACGCAAUUUAAAAGAAUGGAGAUUUUGCAUUUUUUUAUUGCUUCAUCUGAAAGAGCUUAGAGAACUGAUUUCACAGAAUUUUUUAUAAUUUUUUCUGAUACGGGAAAUAGUAUAAAUAUAUAUUAUAAGGGAAAAAAUACCCCGUCUAGUGACGUCAUCUGGGGGCAUUUCCCAUUUAAAAACACGUAGGUAUUUUGGCAGAUUUGAUCAUUUUGUCAUAUCUUCUCCAAUAAUUGUUCAAUUCAUGAAGCAAGGGUAUCCUCGUGAUCAGUUCACUCAGUAGUUUCCAGUUAAACACGAAAUUCAUAACAUUUCAGACACUUGCAAAUUCUCUAUUGCUUUCAUUAUUUUCAGCAAUUUUAAACCCAAUAAUAAAAGAUUGAUAUGCAAUGAGAAAAAGCGUUUGCUAAUCUGAAAUCAGCGCUAAAAAGUCAUACAACGCCGAUCACAAUAAAAGCGACUCUUUUUUUAAAAAAUACCUGUUAAAUCACAAAAAUAGCUCGUUUCAGAAACAGGCCAAAAAAUUCAACCAUUUCAUAGAAACGUUAUCCAAACAUACCGCUUCAAAUUGGUAAAACAAAUGAGCGUGACAUUAAGUUACCCUUCAUUUGACUGCUUAUGCAAUUUUAGGCACGGCAAAGUCGAUAUAAUUGUAUCAAGCAUUCAGACAUAAGUUCCUCUACGUUCUUUUCUUUGUGGUUAAGUCAAACGCAGUGGAACAUAAAGCUCAUAAAGUUAUAAUCAACUUCAAGUAAGUUGAUAAUACAUCACAAUUAUGUGACAGAUGUGUUGACCCAUCAAUCACUUCUGUUCUAUUUUUAAAUGAGUAACCGAAAGUUUCUCGUAUACCAUUUUUGUGAUUAUACAACGUGUUGAUUGUACCUAAAUUAGAUCUAACUCGAUCAAAACUUUGUGUUUUUAACUAUACCAUACAUUUUUUUUGUUAAGUUAUUUUACUGUAGAUUAUUAUCACCAUAACAACUAUGUUAUGCCAUCCAUUUCUUAAUUUAUCAAUGAUUUCUUUGCUGCUUUACUCCAACGUACCAAGUAUGCUCUUCCAUACGAAUGAAAACUAUGCGUUUCGCAGUUAGUAAUCAGGCAGUUGUGCCAGUCAUUUAAACGUCUUUUGAAGGUUGAAGCUUAGACAAUAACAAGAGAAAAUGAAAUUCAUCAGGGCGUUAAGUUUUUAUAAUGUCGAUAGAAACUUUCUUUGAAAAAAUAAAAUACUGAUCGCGUCGGUACGUACCAUAAUUUUUUGCUCUUCAGUCUUAUGAAGUGCGUAAGUAUAAAUCAAAUGUGAACAUAUGCACGUUUGCUUGCCGUUAGAAUAACAUGUUAGCAUCUCUCAUAGCCGAAACUUAGCGUGAAAGAUAUCAUCAAGUAAUGUACCUAACUCGGUCUCUAACUAACAGUUCCAUGUUUCCCGGAGGAAGGACUCACCAAAAAUAUCAUUGUAGGAAUCUGGUGUUUGAAUGGAUCUCAUUAUUUUUUUGCUGAUAAAUGUACAAGGAUCAACCAUUAAAAUACGAUUCUAUCAUAUAGCGUAACUAGCCGAUUAAACGAAAUGAAAACUUAUGUUUAGUUUCUGAUGUGUACUUAAACACAAUUUAAUUGUGCCUUUUUGGACGAAAUGUAUCAAAGCAUUUCAGUUCUGAAAUGUUCUUUCCAUCAUAGUAUAUCACGAAACAAAAAGUCACGUUUUCUAAAAACUCCUGUUUGUUGGCGAAUUCAUUAUUUCUUUCAUGUUUUUCAGAGAUCCGACUAAAAAUUAGUUUUUAAAGAUCUCGACUUUUAACAUGCUCAUGAAUGAUUGUUUUGUAAUGUCAAAUGACUUUUAACAUACCAGAGAAAUUUGCGUGAAUUUCAAUAUCUUCAGAAGCCAUUGAUACAAAUGUUAUUAACUAUAAGUAAAUUUUAAACAUACCAUUUUGUUGACCCGUAUGCCUAAGGUAGUGUUAAGUUUAUUCUUUUUUAAUAAAUGUUCUGAGUUUUCAUUUUUUUACCAUGCAUUUUUUACUUGCCAUCAUUUUCUCUGCAAAUAAUUACCAUUUGA
rnacentral:lncRNA from 1 species